ensembl:lncRNA
AUGACACUCUGCAGCGCCACCAGCGCUGUUUUCUCUCCUAAGUCAGUCAUUCAACCGCGCAAGCAGGUCGCCCUCUGCGCGCUACAACCUGCGGGGCGGGGAGCCUCGGCGCUCACCCCUGGAACUCCGCUGGUGCUGACGUACCUUCAGGCCCUUAAAUGUGUCUGUCCCUGCGCAGGAAGGAACAGACUUGGUAGCAGUCACUUUGCCCGAAGGGAAUCGCUUCUCAGUUCUUGCAGCCUCAGCUCCGUUUCCCCUCGCUCUUCCUGGAUCUGCGUUUAUCUCUGUCCUUUUUGCACUGAGUCCCCGCCAACCUCUCCAGCGGGAGGAGCAUUUGGCAGUUUGCACCCUAGGAGAGAACCAACUGGGCUUUUCAUGCCCUGUGCUUUUCCGGUGGACUCGAAGACCAGAGAGAUUAAGAGUCGAGAGAAGCGUUUGGCACGAGCACUCUGCGGGACCCAAGCUCCCGGCUGCUCGCGAUCCGUGUGUCCGCUGCUGCGGGAGGAGCAGAAGGAGCGGAGGGGAGGAAGCCAGCGGAUGCUUGCUGGAGCCUGGAGUUAAAAGAGGUAAUUCGAGUAAGACUGGAUGAAUAUUGUGGGUACAAUUCAGCACG